GGAAUAUGGCUUAGUUGGUAGAGUAAGUGCCUUGAAUGCACAAGGCCCUGGGUUCGAUCCCCAGCACCA
rnacentral:tRNA from 1 species